rnacentral:ncRNA from 1 species
UAACAUUUGCGGUGAAAUGCACUUUGGAUUCUUUUGAGUACCUAGUGUAUGAGAAGGUUGGAUAAAGACCACUUUGUUAAGCCGGGGCGAUGUUUUUCUGAAUGACCGCAGUUCAAAAUCGCCCCGGUUUCACAAU